rnacentral:rRNA from 1 species
AAUGACAUAAACCAUAAAAACAAAACAAAGCAAGAACAAAACCCCGUACCUUUNGCNNAAUGGUCUAGCAAGUCUUACGUCACAAAAAGAAUUUAAGCCAUACACCCCGAAACCUGACGAGCUACCCCAAGGCAGCACACUAGAGCAAACCCAUCCCUGUAGCAAAAGCGUGGGAAGACCUAGAGGUAGAGGCGAAAAACCUAACGAGCCAGGAUAUAGCUGGUUACUUGAGAACGAAUUUUAGUUCAACUAAGAGCAAAUAAUCCUAAAAAGAAUAAACUAAUGCUCUUAAUAUAAUUAACUGGGGUACAGCCCAAUUAAAAGAGAUACAACCCGCAAGAAUAAAUAAAGAUUUUAACUUUAAGAAGAAUAUAGUUUAGUGGGCCUAAAAGCAGCCACCAAAAAAGCGUCAAAGCUUAACUUAAUAUAACUCUAAUGAUUUAAACAAUAAAUCUUAAUUUAUUAAAAUAAUCAAGUCAAUCUAAUAUUAGAUAAGUUAUUACUAGAAUGAGUAACAAGGACCACCCCCUCUAAAUAUACGUGUAUAUCGAGACGAAAGCAUCGCCGACAAUUAACGAACCAUAUAUUAAUUUUUCAAGAAUCACCAAUUAACAAUACCGUUACCCCAACACAGGCAUAUUUUAGAAAGACCUUAAGCUAGGAAAGGAACUCGGCAAACCCAAGGCUUCGCCUGUUUACCAAAAACAUCGCCUCUUGGCCUAUUAACAUAAGAGGUACUGCCUGCCCAGUGACACCUGUUCAACGGCCGCGGUAUUAUGACCGUGCAAAGGUAGCGUAAUCACUUGUCUUUUAAAUAAAGACCAGUAUGAAUGGCGAAACGAGAGCCUAACUGUCUCCCCAAGCUAGUCAGUGAAAUUGAUAUCCCCGUGCAGAAGCGGGAAUACUCCUACAAGACGAGAAGACCCUACGGAGCUUCAAGCUGAAAUUAACUAUGCAAACUAACAAAGCAACCCUUAAUACACAGCUUUAGGUUGGGGCGACCACGGAGAAAAAUUAACCCUCCGAGAUGAAUUAGCUAAGAAAAACACAUCAAAGUAACAAAAAUCUUGACAUAUUGACCCAAUACUUGACCAACGAACCAAGUUACCCUAGGGAUAACAGCGCAAUCUUCUCAUAGAGUCCCUAUCGACGAGAAGGUUUACGACCUCGAUGUUGGAUCAGGGCCCCCAAAUGGUGCAGCAGCUAUUAAAGGUUCGUUUGUUCAACGAUUAAAGCCCUACGUGAUCUGAGUUCAGACCGGAGAAAUCCAGGUCAGU